rnacentral:lncRNA from 1 species
GGGACGGAGUGGGACCCGGGGACCCCCUCACCCCACAGCGUGGGCCCCGGCCCGGCGCGCCGCGGCCAAGCGGACCGCGCUCUCCAGCGGCCCGGCGCCCUCCUUUCUCCGGGCCGCGGGCGGUGACAGCGGCCGGCCUCCUCCCUUCCCCUCCGGGGCGGGAGCGAAGGGUGUGUGCGUGUGCGUGUGUGCGCUGGGGGGGCCCGGGGGUCACCCCGAGGCCUGCUUUCUCCCCCGCGCCCCGCGAGGCUGCCUCCUUUCCCCUCAGCAGCCCCGCUCCGCCGGGGCGGGCGGGCGGAAAAACAAAGGGGGAUUAAGGCCGGGCCGGAGAGCGGGGCCGGGAGGGAGGGAGGAGGAGCGCCCGCCCGCCCGCCCGCCAGCCCCGGGCCCGGCCCCCCUGUCCCCCCCGUGCCCCCCCGGGGGGGGCCCCAGUACCUGGAACAGGAACGCGGU